ensembl:lncRNA
GACAGGGCAGGCAGGCGUCGGGAUCGGAGGCUCCGAGUCGGUUCUGCACAGUGCCAGGAGGGCAGGGGAACUCUCGUCCUAGAGACAUCCCCGGAGGACAGUAGUAUCCAGCGGGACAUAAGGAAGGCUGUAUAGUACCUUUAACUGAGCCACAACAAGAAUAAACACAUAUCAUAUUGAAAGCGAACAAUUAAAUGAGAAACCAUUGGGCCCAGUGCCGUAAAAUGAAUUACAAUCAAUAAAUGUAAGUUAUUGAAAAUUGAAUGUGAAGAAAAAGUCUCUCUUAGAAAUUGUUUCCUACCUUGACAGUAGUACCCAGGUGUGCAUGUAGUGCAAUUGUCUUGAUGUAUGUUUCCUGUUUCAGAGCUAAAUGUUCCUGCAGAACAAGGGAUUGGGACCAGUGUCCCUCUGGGGCAAAAGAAACCAGCAGGGCACAGAGCCGUAUCUGCUCUGCUGGAGCCCCAGUCGCAAUAAAACCCUGCCCAGCAAUCCCCUAAAGCCGGAAAAGGGGAAACCACACACUAUAUUGAAAGAUGUUAUCUUUAAAAUCCAUGAAUUCAAAAUAAACUGCAGGGGGAAUGAAAAAAACCCAACAUUCGCUUUGGGUGUGUUUUAAUCUACCUGCUGUUUGCCCCCGUUGGCAGAAUUUCCCGGGUGGACAGAGAGAUCCAGUUCUGUUGUCAGUCGGGUUGGGCACUGUGGCGCCCAUCAAACACAGAAACCCAGCAGCACACGGCCCCGAAGGCUGAACCAACCCGUCAGACCCACAAAACUGACCCGCUGGACACACAAAGCACUCACCUGUCAACACACAUCGACAGCUUUGACUUUAGUCCAAACAGAACAACAAGCUACCUGCCAGAUGCAUCAGUCGCGUCUCUCACAUGGUUGCCAGCUGCUAAGGUUUUCAAUGUGGGUAAGUAAACUACAUUUUAAACGUUUGGAAACAAAAAGAUUCUACGGCAUCUUGUAAUUCCACUUCUGUCACAGAGGUUGAGGCCUUUUACCUGUGGAGGUGAGACCGUGGCGGGGGCUGUAGGUGCCUUUGGGGCAGGGAAAAGGGUGACUGUCUGGAUUCUCCCUGGGACAUAUGUAGCCGGCCGGGCAGGGCAGAGGGCUGGAGACUCCAGUAGGGCCUCCCAUGGUGGGGCUGCUACUCGGGUACUGGCAGUGGAACCCAGCAGGGCAGGGAUCACACUCUGUUUGGCCCGAUAAAUCCUGGAACCAGCCUGGUUCAAAGACAUUCAAACAUCUCAUUCCGGUAAGAGCCAGCCGGACAGGGUGUGGGAACGCUGCUGCCCUCUGCGCAGUAGUGGCCCGCGGGACAAACACUUCCAGAUUCACUUGACAUUGGGGCAGCAGUCUGGGAUCCCUCUAGACAGCAGGGCCCAGAGACUACCGAGAGGCCGAUCUCUGAACAGUAGAAGCCUGGAAUGCAGCUACGACACUGGGACUCCUCCACCAGCCUGCUCUGCUCACUGUGGAAAGAGUCACAUCAACCAUAAACCACUGAAAUAAUAAGGGGAUUUUCUGUCACCUGGAUAACAAUUGCUCAUUAUUACAUCACAGAAGUCACUCCUUCUCACUACCGCAAUCUGCCUUUUCAUCACACUUUUAUAUUUUCUACUGGCAAAGCAAAAGGUUAAACAAGGAAAAUCAUCCAUCUCUCUGGAUUCAAUUUUACCUUCAAACUUUAAUCCAUUACCACUACAAACAAUGUUUAGUCACCAUGUAAUGUGUUGCUGUAGUUUGGAAUUAAAAUUCAAAAUGUGUCUCAUGAAUAACUCGGUUCACGGUAAUUAGAGAUAUGGAUAUUAGCACGUUUGUAGAGAUAUUGCAGGGUGUGCACCUGAAUGUUCCUUUCGGGCAUGCUUUUGGAGAAGAAGUCCCCACGGAGCAGAAGAAGCCGGGAGGGCAUGGGAAGCCAGUCACAUUAUCGAGUGGUGAAGAUUCAGAGGCUCCGCCAACACAAACAAACCCUGCAGCACACGGCCC